rnacentral:rRNA from 1 species
UACGAAGGGGGCUAGCGUUGCUCGGAAUCACUGGGCGUAAAGGGUGCGUAGGCGGGUCUUUAAGUCAGGGGUGAAAUCCUGGAGCUCAACUCCAGAACUGCCUUUGAUACUGAAGAUCUUGAGUUCGGGAGAGGUGAGUGGAACUGCGAGUGUAGAGGUGAAAUUCGGAGAUAUUCGCAAGAACACCAGUGGCGAAGGCGGCUCACUGGCCCGAUACUGACGCUGAGGCACGAAAGCGUGGGGAGCAAACAGG